ACGGAAGAUUGGUCAGAAGCUGUGGGUUCAAAUCCCAGCCCCACUCCUGAAGCUGGGCAACACCGGGAAGCUGAUUGAACUCUCUGGGAUCUCCCUCCACUGUGAAUGAUGUUCAUUCUUACCAGCUUUAUGGGUCCAAGUCAUUCCAGGCACUAUCCUGGGCUUUAUCCUCCCACUUGUGAAUAAAGCACAUUCAUUGAGCGCCUGCUAUCUUACAGGUUUACAUCAGGAAAACAAAACAGAUGACAUCCAUGGGCUCUCAAGGAAAUUGCAAUAUAAUGACAAAUUUCUCUCAACUGUUUGGCUUCUCUGGAGGAAAUACGCAGGAUAUGCAGUAAGAAGUGAGAUGGGAUCGUCAG
rnacentral:lncRNA from 10 species